CCUACGGGGGGCUGCAGUCGAGAGGCUUCGGCAAUGGGGGAAACCCUGACCGAGCGACGCCGCGUGGAGGAUGAAGGCCCUUGGGUUGUAAACUCCUUUUAUUCGGGAAGAAGUGCGAUCAGGUGAAUAAUCUGGUCGUUUGACGGUACCGGAUGAAUAAGCUCCGGCUAACUCCGUGCCAGCAGCCGCGGUAAUACGGGGGGAGCAAGCGUUGUUCGGAAUCACUGGGCGUAAAGGGCGUGUAGGCGGUCAAGUAAGUGGGAUGUGAAAUGCCCCGGCUCACCCGGGGACCUGCAUCCCAAACUGCUUGGCUUGAGUAUGGGAGAGGAUGAGGGAAUUCCUGGUGUAGCGGUGAAAUGCGUAGAUAUCAGGAGGAACACCGGUGGCGAAGGCGCUCAUCUGGCCCAAUACUGACGCUGAGGCGCGAAAGCUAGGGGAGCAAACGGGCUUAGAUACCCCAGUAGUC
rnacentral:rRNA from 1 species